CCGUGAGCGACCUAAGGGUGGGUUCAAUUGUUCGUUAGUACCUACCGUGCUGGGUUUAAACGUUCACCUUCUUUCUUAGCGGCGUCGUCGAUCACGAUCGGAUUAAUAGUCUGUAAGUCUGUCUAUCUUCGUGGUUUUUAUUCGUCUGUUAGCUCUCCCGCGAGCGGUCUAAGGGAGGGUUUUAGUUGUUCGUCGCGUAGUGUCCAAGUGCCGGUGUCCUUUAGUUAGUUAGUAGGUAGUCAAAUAUGUUUGUGCUGAACCUAAAGCUAAAUGUAGUUGUCUGCGCUGGAGAACCUUAGCCCAUGAUUUUGUCGUCGUACUUUCUUUACAUGAGACGUAGACGUCACCUCGCCCACGUCCUGUGCCUCGUCGUAGAGUUGGUUGGUUGGCCCCGCCCCCGCCUAGCCGCCCACCGAGUUAGUCGGCGCCGUCGCGCACUACCGCCUCGUCGGCGCCCUCAUCCCCAACCGGACCGGCGGCCCCGCCGUCAACAUCAUCCUCCACGGCGCGUCCCUCGUCCCGUGCAACAGGGAGGCGUCGCGCGGCAUCGACUACAUCGGCAACGGCGAGACGUCGUGCGCGGCGCGGUGGCGGAGCAGCGGCGGCCGCGGGCGCUUCUUCCCCUUUCACCUUGCCCCCCUACCCCCUACGAGACGAACGAAAGAACCCACGCCCACACCCCAAACCACGAACACGAACCGGAGACGGUGGCCGUUUACCCAAAUAUGAUC
rnacentral:rRNA from 1 species